UACGAGGGGGGCAAAUGUUGUUCGGAAUUACUGGGCGUAAAGGGUUCGUAGGUGGCUUACUAAGUCAGACGUGAAAUCCCUCAGCUUAACUGGGGAACUGCGUCUGAUACUGGAAAGCUUGAGUGCAGGAGAGGAACGCGGAAUUCCAGGUGUAGCGGUGAAAUGCGUAGAUAUCGAGAGGAACACCUGCGGCGAAGGCGGGUUGCUGGGCGUGACACUGACGCUGAGGCGCGAAAGCCAGGGGAGCGAACGGG
rnacentral:rRNA from 1 species